AAUAAGUACAGCCGUAGAUAUCCGUGUCCAAUAUUUGACCGUCCGUCUUAUUUAAAAAAAUUGUGAAAAAUUUGAAAAUAUUUAGCAAUAAAAAUACUAAUCAUAAAAAAAUUCAAAUAAGACGAAUGGUCAAAUGUUGAACGUAAAUAGUAUAAAACUGUACUUAUU
rnacentral:pre_miRNA from 1 species